AUUGAACGCUGGCGGCAGGCCUAACACAUGCAAGUCGAACGGUAGCACAGAGAGCUUGCUCUCGGGUGACGAGUGGCGGACGGGUGAGUAACGUCUGGGAAACUGCCCGAUGGAGGGGGAUAACUACUGGAAACGGUAGCUAAUACCGCAUAACGUCGCAAGACCAAAGUGGGGGACCUUCGGGCCUCACACCAUCGGAUGUGCCCAGAUGGGAUUAGCUAGUAGGUGGGGUAAUGGCUCACCUAGGCGACGAUCCCUAGCUGGUCUGAGAGGAUGACCAGCCACACUGGAACUGAGACACGGUCCAGACUCCUACGGGAGGCAGCAGUGGUGAAUAUUGCACAAUGGGCGCAAGCCUGAUGCAGCCAUGCCGUGUGUAUGAAGAAGGCCUUCGGGUUGUAAAGUACUUUCAGCGGGGAGGAAGGCGGUGAAGUUAAUAGCUUCACCGAUUGACGUUACCCGCAGAAGAAGCACCGGCUAACUCCGUGCCAGCAGCCGCAGUAA
rnacentral:rRNA from 1 species